rnacentral:misc_RNA from 1 species
UUUCCGUAGGUGAACCUGCGGAAGGAUCAUUACCAAAUCCAAAUACCCAAACCCCAUGUGAACUAUUGUUUGUUGUCCUUGGGGGGAAGAAAGAAUAAAGUGCUUUAUUGUUCUUUACGCGGACUUCCCCCCAAAAGAAUCCGGCACUCCGGUGUUUCGUGAUUCUUGAUAAACCACAUUUUUUUUUUUUGGAAUGACUUUUUUAUUUAAUUAAUAAAAAGACAACUUUUAACGGUGGAUCUCUUGGCUCGUACAUCGAUGAAGAACGCAGC